CCUACGGGGGGCAGCAGUGGGGAAUAUUGCUCAAUGGGGGAAACCCUGAUGCAGCUACGCCGCGUGAGUGAAGAAGUAUUUCGGUAUGUAAAGCUCUAUCAGCAGGGAAGAAGCAAGACGGUACCUGACUAAGAAGCCCCGGCUAACUACGUGCCAGCAGCCGCGGGAAUACGAAGGGGGCAAGCGUGAUCCGGAGUUACUGGGUGUAAAGGGAGCGUAGACGGUAUGGCAAGUCUGAAGUGAAAGCCCAGGGCUUAACCCUGGGUCUGCUUUGGAAACUGUUAGACUUGAGUGCUGGAGAGGUAAGUGGAAUUCGUAGUGUAGCGGUGAAAUGCGUAGAUAUUAGGAGGAACCCCAGUGGCGAAGGCAGCUUACUGGACAGUAACUGACGUUGAGGCUCGAAAGCGUGGGGAGCGAACAGGAUUAGAUACCCGAGUAGUC
rnacentral:rRNA from 1 species